CUGCUGCCUUCCGUAGGAGUCUGGGCCGUGUCUCAGUCCCAAUGUGGCCGAUCAACCUCUCAGUCCGGCUACUGAUCGUCGACUUGGUGGGCCGUUACCUCACCAACUAUCUAAUCAGACGCGAGCCCAUCUUUCAGCGAUAAAUCUUUGGUACCAAAAGGGUGCCCUUCCGGCACGUUAUGCGGUAUUAGCGGUCGUUUCCAACUGUUGUCCCCCACUGAAAGGCAGGUUGCUCACGUGUUACUCACCCGUCCGCCA
rnacentral:rRNA from 1 species